AAAGAUUACGAUGAGGAUGCACAGCUCCCUCUUCUGAAAUUUAAAGCUGAAGAGAUUGGCUGGCAGAAUCGAACCUAUAACUUUCAUAGCCACCACUGAGUAA